AUUACUGGGCGUAAAGCGCACGCAGGCGGUCUGUCAAGUCGGAUGUGAAAUCCCCGGGCUCAMCCUKGGAACUGCAUUCGAAACUGGCAGGCUAGAGUCUUGUAGAGGGGGGUAGAAUUCCAGGUGUAGCGGUGAAAUGCGUAGAGAUCUGGAGGAAUACCGGUGGCGAAGGCGGCCCCCUGGACAAAGACUGACGCUCAGGUGCGAAAGCGUGGGGAGCAAACAGGAUUAGAUACCCUGGUAGUCCACGCUGUAAACGAUGUCGAUUUGGAGGUUGUGCCCUUGAGGCGUGGCUUCCGGAGCUAACGCGUUAAAUCGACCGCCUGGGGAGUACGGCCGCAAGGUUAAAACUCAAAUGAAUUGACGGGGGCCCGCACAAGCGGUGGAGCAUGUGGUUUAAUUCGAUGCAACGCGAAGAACCUUACCUGGUCUUGACAUCCACAGAACUUUCCAGAGAUGGAUUGGUGCCUUCGGGAACUGUGAGACAGGUGCUGCAUGGCUGUCGUCAGCUCGUGUUGUGAAAUGUUGGGUUAAGUCCCGCAACGAGCGCAACCCUUAUCCUUUGUUGCCAGCGGUYMGGCCGGGAACUCAAAGGAGACUGCCAGUGAUAAACUGGAGGAAGGUGGGGAUGACGUCAAGUCAUCAUGGCCCCUUACSACCAGGGCUACACACGUGCUACAAUGGCAUAUACAAAGAGAAGCGACCUCKCGAGAGCAAGCGGACCUCAUAAAGUAUGUCGUACUCCSGAUUGGAGUCUGCAACUCGACUCCAUGAAGUCUGAAUCGCUAGUAAUCGUARAUCAGAAUGCUACGGWGAAUACGUUCCMGGGCCUUGUWCRSACCGCCCGUCACACSAUGAKAGUGGGUUGYAA
rnacentral:rRNA from 1 species